rnacentral:rRNA from 1 species
AUUGAACGCUGGCGGCAUGCCUUACACAUGCAAGUCGAACGGUAACAGGUCUUCGGAUGCUGACGAGUGGCGAACGGGUGAGUAAUACAUCGGAACGUGCCCGAUCGUGGGGGAUAACGAAGCGAAAGCUUUGCUAAUACCGCAUACGAUCUACGGAUGAAAGCAGGGGACCGCAAGGCCUUGCGCGAACGGAGCGGCCGAUGGCAGAUGAGGUAGUUGGUGGGAUAAAAGCUUACCAAGCCGACGAUCUGUAGCUGGUCUGAGAGGCCGACCAGCCACACUGGGACUGAGACACGGCCCAGACUCCUACGGGAGGCAGCAGUGGGGAAUUUUGGACAAUGGGCGAAAGCCUGAUCCAGCCAUGCCGCGUGCAGGAUGAAGGCCUUCGGGUUGUAAACUGCUUUUGUACGGAACGAAAAGACUCUGGUUAAUACCUGGGGUCCAUGACGGUACCGUAAGAAUAAGCACCGGCUAACUACGUGCCAGCCGCCGCCGUAA